UACGUAGGGUGCGAGCGUUAAUCGGAAUUACUGGGCGUAAAGUGUGCGCAGGCGGCCGCGCAAGUCGAGUGUGAAAGCCCCGGGCUUAACUUGGGAAUUGCGCUCGAAACUACGUGGCUGGAGUGUGGCAGAGGAAGGUGGAAUUCCAGGUGUAGCGGUGAAAUGCGUAGAGAUCCGGAGGAACACCAGUGGCGAAGGCGACACGCUGGGCCGUACCUGACACUGAUGCGCGACAGCAUGGGGAGCAAACAGG
rnacentral:rRNA from 1 species